AAGAGAAAGGGCGCAAGCCCAACCUCCAACCCUUUGUUGUAAAUUACUAGUUGCCUUGCCUUAUGUCAGUUGAUUGAGGCGUGGGGAAACCCGCGCUGCCUUCAUGCUGGCCUCUAGGGCAAUGGACCUUUAAACUCGAAUAUCAGUGUAGUCUGAGAAAAAAUUCAAUGAAUUA
rnacentral:misc_RNA from 1 species